UUGAAACCAAGCUAAAAUUCUCCUUUCUUGAACCUGCAGUGCUGCUAAAUGUUCUUUGUAUGAGGUGUAAUCUGAUCCUUGCCUCGUGCACACUGCAGGAGUACAGUGUGGUGGUGAAUCUGGCAAUGUGACGUUUGAGGUAGGGAUUCGAGUCAGCGUAGAUGUUUGAAACCGAGCUGAGAUAUGCCUUUCGUAGACCUGCCAUGCUCUCAUACGUCCUUUGUAUACCGUGUGAUAUUAUUGUUGCCUCAUACACACUACAGCAAUUGAGUGGCAUAUCCCUGCAUACCAGAUACCGGAAAUAAAGAAAAGAUAUGACCAAGACUCGAAGCAGUGAACCUCGAGGACGAACCGAGUCUCGGAUUGGCCAGGCGGAGGUCCCACGCGCUGGCGUCACCACUUGAGGAUCGAGGCGUCGCGCGGUUACGUGGAGAUCUGAAUUGCGCGUUAAUCACCCCAGUAAUGGAACACCUGUGUUAUUAGUUUGUGUAGUGAUCGUUAAUUGUACGUGACAGUAGUGCAGACCAAGGAAGGUUUAAACUCUCUAGCUUCCAUGGUGCAGACUUUGCCGGGAGAAGCCAGCGGGCGUGGGUACUGAGCGCCGGCAGCGGGGAGUGUGGUGCUGCAGGUCUGGUGUUCCUUGCCUGAUUUCCUCCGUGGCGGCGCCGGACAGCAGUAGGAGCGAGCAAAUGAUGAUGUAAAGGCCUGCAAGGAAGUGGUGGUGCAGGCAGCUGCCAAGAAAUGAUGCUACAAACACACGUGACAAACUCAUGUUGCAAGGACGAGAUAGUGUUGCGAAGGCGGGCGAAAGAAGAGUUUUGCAACAACAGACGACGUGGCGUUGCAAGGACGGCUGGUAAAACAACAUUGCUGCCCAAGCUUCCUAAACCCACACGUGUCUCACCUUCACCCGCUGGCCUUGCGAUAUAAGGAAAACUUUACCCUUCUGGGGACCUUAUCAGACUUAUCAACGCUCGCUGUGCUCCUCGAGAUCUCCCUUUGAGGCCUCGGGGAAGUGGUGGCUGGAAAAAGGGAGAAAAACGAUGGAGGGAUAGAUAGAUAUAAAAAAAAGUGGGGAGGAGGAGAGGACGUGAUGCAAUUUAGCGUGUAGGACAAAAAGGGCUGAGUUCCAGGGAUGAGGUGGGCAAGGCUGGAUAUCUGAUUCCUAUGCCAGGUGAUGAAGGACACGUGAACCUGUGGAUUGUGUUUAUGUCAGUGUUGGGUCGCCCUCAAUGGGUCUCAAUUGAGGGAGGAGGAUCUGUGCAGCCUCUCGGGACUCCUGCUGGGGGAAAUUGCUCCGACCGAGGGAUCACGGUACGUUUCUUUAUCCUGUGUGUGUGUGUGUGUGUGUGUGUGUGUGUGUUUGUGUUUGUGUUUGUGUGUGUGUGUGUGUGUGUGUGUGUGUGUGUGUGUGUGUGUGUGUGUGUGUGUGUGUGUGUGUGUGUGUGUGUGUUUGUGUGUAUGUGUGUGUGUGUGUGUGUGUGGUUAGUCCGAUUUGCAAAUGUGUUUUAUUUGCCAUUAUUUGUUCCCUUGAAUGUUUUUGUGGUGCAAUAUUCUUGGAGGGAAAGUGUUUACAGGUUUUUAUUUAUUUUUUAUUUAUUUAUUUAUUUUUUUUCGUUGUGAGAUGUGUUUUGUUCUGCUCUUUGUUUUAUGCCAGCAGUAGAUAAAGUAGGAAUGUGUUUCCUGUGUCUGGAGAUUUCCACAUCAUAAGCCAAUCCAUGAAUAUUGAAUUCCAUGGAUGAAAAUACAUGAAAAGUCGUGAAAAUAUACGAAAAAAUGCCAUGUUUGCUUUCCCCGUUUGCGUUUUUCCGUGUUUCUGCUUUCCUUUUCUAAUCUUCACGGAAAGGAUACGACAAGAGCCCCGAAACAUGCUCCAGAACCACCAGCAAUAACCUCCAGCAGAGCCUCUGAAAUCAUGUGUUUGGCUAAAGUUUUCACCCAAUAGUAAUUUGUCAGGACGCUAGAGUGGUUGGCAGGGUGAUGCAGGGUACAAAGGCAGCAGGGUGAUGAAUUAGAGGGGAUGAGGACGGUGGACACCCUUCCAGCACCGUUCCCUCCCUUCUCUCCGUCUCUCCCUCCUAUGCAUGCAGCGAGGCUCAGUCAGGCAGUGUUUGUGAAGCAUGAAGCGAAGCUGCCUCGGUUUUGCCUUGCCCAUCAUUUUUUUCCUCUACAUUUUUCGCUCCUAUGCCUUUUGUUAGGCGCAGUGGAGGAGUGGCGGCGCUACGAACACUUUGUAGGACACUGUGCAGGCUGGUGAGUGCACGAAGGGUUUCCUGGUUUCAUGCGAGGGCUGGUAGAAAUGUUUGUAUGGUCAGAAAUCAUGUCUUGUUUUCAUCUUGUUCUCCCUCACGUUGGGGCCUUGCAAAUUCAUCGCUUACUCUCUCUCUCUCUCUCUCUCUCUCUCUCUCUCUCUCUCUCUCUCUCUCUCUCUCUCUCUCUCUCUCUCUC